rnacentral:lncRNA from 1 species
UUAUGUGUGUAUCUUAGGAUUAAUUUAGUAUUAAAUUUAAAAAGUGUAGAAUUUAAGAUUUGUAUUUUUUUUUUUUUAGUUUGAUGUGUGUUUGUUGGUAGGUUCUUAAGUUUAGGUUCUUCGAAAAAAUAUAUUUUUAACAAAAUAAUAAAUUUUAAUUUUAGAAAACUUAAUAAUUAUUGCAAAUUCAAAAAUUUUAAAACAUACAUGAAAUACAAUUU